rnacentral:rRNA from 1 species
GACGAACGCUGGCGGCGUGCUUAACACAUGCAAGUCGAACGGAGUGGCGAACGGGUGAGUAUUGCGUGAGUAACCUGCCCUCAACUGUGGGAUAAGCCUGGGAAACUGGGUCUAAUACUGCAUGUGAUGGGCUCGCGGCCUAUCAGCUUGUUGGUGGGGUGAUGGGCUACCAAGGCGGUGACGGGUAGCCGGCCUGAGGGGGUGGUCGGGCACAUUGGGACUGAGAAAAGGCCCAGACCCCUAAGGGGGGGAGCAGUGGGGAAACUUCCGAAAUGGAGGGAAGUCGGAAGGAGCAACGCCGGGGGGGUGGUUACGGGCUUUGGGUUGUAAAGCUCUGUUAAUCGGAAGUCGGUACCGGAAUAGAAAGCCACGGCUAACUACGUGCCAGCCGCCGCGGUAAUUC